UCAAUAAAAAAUCUACUUUGUAUGGGUAUGAGUAAAAAAUAUCAAUACAUGUAAAAUGCUUAGCUAGAUAAAAAUAGAUUUUUAAUAUUGUCUCGUCGAAUAACUGGACCUUUCUACCUAAGCAAGCGAUGAGUCUCGCAUCAAAAAAUGGAGAUGUGAAGAAACUCUAUCAUAUAGUGGUUGCAAUCCCAUGACUGUGAGGAGCUUGGUUACGGUGAGUGGAAAUUCUUUGUGAACCACAUACGAUGCAGAAAAUUCGAUGUAAAGCACACCAUCUUGUUCGAUUGGCCCAUAUAGCCACCACUUUCCAAUGCACAUUUAAUGCCAAU
rnacentral:lncRNA from 1 species